rnacentral:rRNA from 1 species
CCCAGAAAGACUAUCUGGUUGAUAGGUCGAAGGUGUAAGUGCAGCAAUGUAUUUAGCUUAUCGAUACUAAUAGGUCGAGGACUUGACCAAUAUUUAUU